rnacentral:rRNA from 1 species
GCGAUCAUACCAGCACUAAUGCACCAUAUCUCAUCAUAACUUUGAAGUUAAGCGUGCUUGGGUGAGAUCAGUACUAGGAUGGAUGACCCACAUGAAGUCCUCGUGUUUCACCU